UUUAAUAUAUUAUUUGGUGGUGGUUGUUUUUUUGCAUUAGAAAUAGUGUCAGUUGUCAAACAAGACUCUUGAUUGAUUUGUGUUUUUUUUAUGUCUAGCUUUCAACAUCCUCAAAGGCAUCUAAUUGUUCAGGACAUACUGAGUAUCUGCACUUACAGAAAUCAAGCCUCAAGUGGAACUCCCCUGAAAGCAAGGCACCGGGAAGCCAAGAUUAGUUUUCAGAAACUUCUGCACCCCGUGUUCUCCUUCUGUCACGCUCCAGACCCUGGAGAGGAGUCAGCCUCAGUGAACCCAGUGACAUGCCCCUGGAAAUGGAGAGCUGCUCACAGAAAUGCCAACAGCCCAGGUGAGCGCAAAGCUAACCAUAGACCAAACCCAACGUGUUCCCAAUCCAUAAAAUACCUCUUCGGGUUUGCCAGGGGACUAUUCCACCAAAAAUCAACUCUUUGCACACAGAGAGUUUAACGGAUUUCCAUUUUCUGAUGGAAAAGAAUUUCCCCGAAACAUGGUGAGUGGCAUUUUCUGGCUGCACACAGCCCGCACGCUUAGAAAGCAGAAGCUGCAUCUCCAACAGCUGAACCAGCCCCAUCUGUCCCAGUGGCUGCCCGUGCCCCUCUGCUCGCCCUGCUUUGGCCCUCGUUAGCCACCCCGGGGCUGGCUGGCCACCCCAUGCCUGUCCCUGCUGAGCCAGGAACUGCUCUGCCAAGAACUUUGCCUGUGUUUUCCCCCCAGCUGCAGCCGUGGUGCUGGGUACCAGGCUCAUCCCUGUCCUCGGCUACCGAUGCUCCAUGGCCAAAGCCCCGGGCUGUCCUAUCUCUGCUCCUUUCCCUCUGGAGACCAAGCGACAUCACCUGACAAAUGCCGCCAGGGGCUGCUUUGGUGGCAGGGCUGCGCUGGAGGUGGCCACCGCUGGUCUGGCAGGGCUGGUGGGGGGUUUCAGCUGGGCUGGC
rnacentral:lncRNA from 1 species